rnacentral:lncRNA from 1 species
AAAAGCUUAACAAAGACCAGACCCAGCCUGAAUGGGCGCCAUGCAGUAGUAACCUGGAAGCUCUGCACAAAGAUUUGUGAAUAUAGGCAUCCUCUGACUGCUUCUGGGCCACUGUGAGAUGUCAGCACAAGGAAUGUCUACUUAACACUGAGUGAUGGUGCUGCAUCCUGUUUCAAAGCCUCCUGUGACUCCUCAUGCUGUCAGAGAGCAUUUAAAGCUCACUAGCUCAGUCCACGGGGCUUGCCCUUACUGGGCCUGUCUCAGUUCAUGGAACACAUAGGGCUCAGCUACAGAAUAUCAGCAUGCUGACUGACGUCUUAGAGGAAAGACCCAAGUCAGAGCUUGGGCAUCGGACGGGAGCUGCUCGGGUUCCCACACGGAUCCAGCUGAAGAUUCAGCUUGCCCAUCAAGACAAUUUCAUCUCUCAAAUGAAUUAUGGCUGGGAGAUUUAUUAGAGGAGCGACAGCAUGAUAAAUGAGUUGUCUGUCAUCUUUACAUCCUUCCUCUUAUGGCAGCUGAAUGCUAUCGCUCAUUUCUUCAGAUGGAAUUCAGGUGUAAAAGAAAGAAGAAAUGAGAAGAAGUUAAAUGACUCCUUUAACAGAAAGAAGAACUUCAAGCAGCGCUUGCACACUGAUUUCUACCUAUGCUUGUACAAAGUACACACAUUUUCUAUACCAUGUGAAUUAAAAAAAUUUUUUUUUCUGAGCCAUCACUAUAUGCAGUCAUUUGGAAUAGAUAGGGUAAUAUGACAGGAGCCUAGCAUCACUGUCUCCUGACAGGCUUUAUCCAGCAGCUGCAUCUGAAAACAGAUGCAGAGACCCACAGCCAAACAUCAGGUGGAGCUUGGGGAGUCUUGUGCAAAA